GCCUACGGGGGGCAGCAGUAGGGAAUUUUCGUCAAUGGGCGCAAGCCUGAACGAGCAAUGCCGCGUGAACGAGGGAGGUCUUCGGAUCGUAAAGUUCUGUUGAAGGGGAAAAAGAGCGGAGAGAGGAAAUGGUCUCCGAUUGAUAUUACCCUUCGAGGAAGUCACGGCUAACUACGUGCCAGCAGCCGCGGUAAUACGUAGGUGGCGAGCGUUAUCCGGAAUGAUUGGGCGUAAAGGGUGCGUAGGCGGCCUGCUAAGUCUGGAGUGAAAGGUACCGGCUCAACCGGUACAGGCUCUGGAAACUG
rnacentral:rRNA from 1 species